AGCAAUGCUGAGUUUUGGUGCAGCAGUGUGUCCCACUGCUUGCACUCAACAGUAUGAUCCAAUUUGUGGCCAAAAUGACGCUGGGGAGAAGAGAUUGUACCGCAAUCCAUGUUUGAUGGCAAUGGAGAACUGUCCCAUGCCUAUGAGCAGAAAAUUCGUGCCAUUUAAAAAAGGAAGAUGUUAAUUCAAACCAACAAAAAAACUACCAAUUAACUUGAUUGUAUUUUAUAAUAACUCCAUGAAGUUAUUACUCAAAAAAUUGUAAUUUUGAGCAAAAUUAUUUAGAAAAAUAAACUGGUUUUACCAA